ACCAUCAUGCCUGGCUACUUUUUUUAUUUUUUAGUAGAGACAGGGUUUCACCAUGUUGGUCAGGCUCAUCUGGAACGCCUGCCCUCGGGUGAUCCGUCCGCAUCAGCCUCCCAAAUGCUGGGAUUACAGGUGAGGACACUGUCUUGUGUACCACCAUGUCUCUUGCACCUUGAACUGUUCCUGGCACAUUGCAGGUACUCAAUCAAUAUUUGUCAAACAAAUAAAUGAAAGUCAAUGUUCACUAAGCCCUUGGGAUUUGCUGAACCCACUUCUACUGCCCCAAAUCUUCAGUGAGUUCUAUUAUCCCCAUUUUACAGAUGAAGAAACUGAGGAUGGGAGGCCCGCUCCCUUGCCCACAGUCAUGUAGCUGGCCUAGGAUGGAUGUGGAAUCCUGCCCCAGCAGUGGUGAUAUUAUUAUACCCAUGUUACAGAUACAGAAGACUGAGGCUCAGCAUGGGCCCCUUGCCAUGAUCACACAGCUAGAGGGUAAGAGGGGCUGGCUCUGCCUCCUAUGCCACUCCUGAUCCACUCUCCAAUCCCUCCCCCAGUCCCCUGCCCCAAGCCAUCAGUUAGGAUGAUUCUUAUAGCCAGAGGUGUGACAUGCCAAAGGUGUCUCUUUACCCCAUACACUCACUCUGGAACCAGGACAAGGUUUCAGUGAGGUGGACCUGGGUUCUAUCUGGACCAGGGACUUUGCCUCCAAGCUCAUUUCCUCAUCUGUAAAACAGGGAUCCAACAAACCCUCAGCCUGAAUGGGCUGUGGUAGGGUCCUGAGGGGGUUAGGACCUUGCAUCUAAAUGUGGAGACCCCAGGGGUCAGGCGUGGAGUCUGCCUCCCUGCUGGGUAGCCUCAGGCGUGUACAUCUUUGUCUCCACCUCAUGGAGUCACUCUGAGAAUAAAAUGAACAUCAGAUCUUG